rnacentral:rRNA from 1 species
UCAGGACGAACGCUGGCGGCGUGCCUAAUACAUGCAAGUCGAGCGGAUCUUUGGGAGCUUGCUCCCAAAGGUUAGCGGCGGACGGGUGAGUAACACGUGGGCAACCUGCCUAUGAGACCGGGAUAACUCCGGGAAACCGGGGCUAAUACCGGAUAAUUCUUUUCUACACAUGUAGAAAAGCUGAAAGAUGGUUUCGGCUAUCACUCAUAGAUGGGCCCGCGGCGCAUUAGCUAGUUGGUGAGGUAACGGCUCACCAAGGCGACGAUGCGUAGCCGACCUGAGAGGGUGAUCGGCCACACUGGGACUGAGACACGGCCCAGACUCCUACGGGAGGCAGCAGUAGGGAAUCUUCCGCAAUGGACGAAAGUCUGACGGAGCAACGCCGCGUGAGUGAUGAACGGUUUUCGGAUCGUAAAAGCUCUGUUGUUAGGGAA